UAUUUAACCUUAUUAUGUAAUAUGUAAAACAAUGAACAACAUAAACCAUUUAUCAGUCUUCCUUAGCCAACCUUUUUUUGUAUAUUUUAUAUGGUUUUCUUGUUAACGUAUCCUUUUUGGCUGUUUACAUAAUAAUGACAAUGGAAAAUAAAUAUGAAUAAACAUAAAGUCAAGAAGUAUGAUAGGUACAGUUUUAUUUUCUAUGACUGACUACAUUAAUGGAAAAUUAUCAUGGAGAUUUAAAAGCU
rnacentral:lncRNA from 1 species